CUUAUGGGACCUGGUCACCAUUAAGACCUGUCUGGGGGGCUGGACUUGGCUAAUUUGUGAUUUUUGUUUAUUUAUAUAUUAUUUGUCGUUCAAUAUGAGUUGUUAAAUUUUCAUACUUACUUCCAAGUAUCCUUGUCUAACAUGUGUGUUUUAGGUUUAGUUGAAAGGUCGAAGUAACUAAUGUUCCAUUGGAUUGAACAUCUCUUAGUUGAGGCCUUAAUAUACAAAUUUAAUAGUUUUUAGCAAGCAUUAAAUCAAGUAAACCCAUUGCUGUUAGAUUUUGAGAAUUGAAUUCAAAUUGCGUAGUCAACUUCUGACAAUCUCAAUAUUCUAUCAGUUCUGUGGACAGCUGAAGAAGUAUUCUCUUUACUAGCUUUUGUUUGUCACUGAAGAAAGUUCUAUUUGUUUAUUGCUUCAAACUUGAAACUUUAUUUUUAUUCAUCCUAAAUAAAAUAAAAAUAAAGUAAAUAGAACCAGAAAUGAAAGUAAAAUGUUCAUCUAUGGACAUCCGGGAUGUUUUAGUUUUCUGAAUUAGUACAAGUAAGAUUGAGAGGAAUUGUUUUCUUUACCUGUUAUCUUUUUAAUUACAUUUUGUUUGUUAUAUAUUGGUUCUUACUUUCUUUACCUCGUUUUUAUUGGCAGUGCUUACACCGCAUCACUAGGUC
rnacentral:misc_RNA from 1 species